UACGGGAGAUUAACGGGAGCAUCGUGCCCGC
rnacentral:sRNA from 1 species